CUACGGGGGGCUGCAGUCGAGAAUAGUCUACAAUGGACGAAAGUCUGAUAGUGCGACGCCGCGUGGAUGAAGAAGCAUUUCGGUGUGUAAAGUCCUUUUCUGUGUGAGCAAUGUUUUCCAGGUUAAUAGCUUGGAGAAAGCGAUAUUAACACAGGAAUAAGCUCCGGCUAACUCCGUGCCAGCAGCCGCGGUAACACGGGGGGAGCAAGCGUUGUCCGGAAUUACUAGGCGUAAAGGGUAAGUAGGCGGAAUUGUAAGUCAGAUGUUAAAGGCACCGGCUCAACCGGUGUAUGGCAUUUGAUACUGUAAUUCUGGAGUAAGGUGGGGGAAGACGGAAUUCCUGGUGUAGCGGUGGAAUGCGCAGAUAUCAGGAGGAACACCAGAGGCGCAGGCGGUCUUCUAUACCAUUACUGACGCUCAAUUACGAAGGUGUGGGUAUCAAACAGGAUUAGAUACCCGCGUAGUC
rnacentral:rRNA from 1 species